rnacentral:tRNA from 1 species
AUUUAUAUAGUUUAAAAUAAAACCCCUUAUUUUCAAUAAGGAAAUAAGACAUAGUCUUUAUAAAUA